rnacentral:rRNA from 1 species
UACAGAGGGUGCAAGCGUUAAUCGGAAUUACUGGGCGUAAAGCGUGCGUAGACGGUAGCGUAAGUCGGGUGUGAAAGCCCCGGGCUCAACCUGGGAAUUGCAUUCGAGACUGCUCUGCUAGGGUGCGGAAGAGGGGAGCGGAAUUUCCGGUGUAGCGGUGAAAUGCGUAGAUAUCGGGAGGAACACCGGUGGCGAAGGCGGCGACCUGGUUCGAUACUGACG